rnacentral:rRNA from 1 species
AGCAUAUCAAUAAGCGGAGGAAAAGAAACUAACAAGGAUUCCCCUAGUAACUGCGAGUGAAGAGGGAAAAGCUCAAAUUUAAAAUCUGGCAGUUAUUUGCUGUCCGAGUUGUAAAUUGGAGAAGUGUUAUCCGCGCUGGCCUGUGCAUAAGUCUCUUGGAAAAGAGCAUCAUAGAGGGUGACAAUCCCGUCUUUGGCACAGACUACCAGGGCUUUUGUGAUGCGCUCUCAACGAGUCGAGUUGUUUGGGAAUGCAGCUCUAAAUGGGUGGUAAAUUCCAUCUAAAGCUAAAUAUUGGCGAGAGACCGAUAGCGCACAAGUACCGUGAGGGAAAGAUGAAAAGAACUUUGGAAAGAGAGUUAAACAGUACGUGAAAUUGUUGAAAGGGAAACGCUUGAAGUCAGUCAUGUCUCACUGAAAUCAACCUGGCACUUGUCUGGUGUACUUUCUGUGGGACAGGUCAGCAUCAGUUCUGAUUGCUGGAAAAAGGCCUUGGGAAUGUGACAUCUUUUCGAAGAUGUGUUAUAGCCCUUGGACCACAUACAGUGGUUGGGACUGAGGAACUCGAUGUGUGGUAUGCUCUGGGGUUUCGGUCCUGGAGUCAUGCAUUCAAGGAUGCUGGCAUAAUGGCUUUAAUCGACCCGUCU